AUUGAACGCUGGCGGCAGGCUUAACACAUGCAAGUCGAGCGGAGAUGAGGUGCUUGCACCUUAUCUUAGCGGCGGACGGGUGAGUAAUGCUUAGGAAUCUGCCUAUUAGUGGGGGACAACAUUCCGAAAGGAAUGCUAAUACCGCAUACGCCCCAUGGGGGAAAGCAGGGGAUCUUCGGACCUUGCGCUAAUAGAUGAGCCUAAGUCGGAUUAGCUAGUUGGUGGGGUAAAGGCCUACCAAGGCGACGAUCUGUAGCGGGUCUGAGAGGAUGAUCCGCCACACUGGGACUGAGACACGGCCCAGACUCCUACGGGAGGCAGCAGUAGGGGAAUAUUGGACAAUGGGCGGAAGCCUGAUCCAGCCAUGCCGCGUGUGUGAAGAAGGCCUUUUGGUUGUAAAGCACUUUAAGCGAGGAGGAGGCUACCUGGAUUAAUACUCUAGGAUAGUGGACGUUACUCGCAGAAUAAGCACCGGCCAACUCUGUGCCAGCCGCCGCAGUAA
rnacentral:rRNA from 1 species